UACAUGUGGGGCAAGCGUUGUUCGGAAUUACUGGGCGUAAAGCGUGCGCAGGCGGUUUUGCAAGCCGGAUGUGAAAUCCCCGGGCUCAACCUGGGAAUGGCAUUCGGGACUGCAAGGCUGGAGUGCGGCAGAGGAGACUGGAAUUCCUGGUGUAGCAGUGAAAUGCGUAGAUAUCAGGAGGAAUACCGAUGGCGAAGGCAGGUCUCUGGGCUGACACUGACGCUCAUGCACGAAAGCGUGGGGAGCAAACAGG
rnacentral:rRNA from 1 species